rnacentral:tRNA from 1 species
GUUUAUAUAGUUUAUAAAAACGUUACAUUUUCAUUGUAAAAUUAGAUCUAAUCUUAAUCUUAUAAAUA